rnacentral:ncRNA from 1 species
GAAUUUAAACAUGGUUUUUAAAGAAAAAGUUUUUAAUAGUCUUUAUAUAUUAAAUUUAUAAAAUAUAAAAAAAAUAUAGAAGAAAGUUUUUUUUUAUUUUCAUUAAUAUGAAAUAAGUUAUUAAUUUUUAAACUUGGCGAUGCUUGUGCCAGCCGCCGCGGUUAUACAAGCAAGUUAAUUUUUCUUUUUCUAUUAAGAAAAAGAAAAUUAAUUUAGUAAUAAUUUUUAUAGGUGAAAUUAAAAAAUUUAAAGUUUUUGUUAAUUUGUUUCUUAAAAAUUUAUUUAAUAAACUAGGAUUAGAUACCCUAUUAUUAUAAGCUUUAUUUUGUUAGUAUAUAUAAUUUAUGAAAUCAAAAAGUUUUGGCGGUAUUUUAAGCUUUUUAGAGGAAUUUGCUCUAUAAUGGAUAAAACCCCUAAAUCUUACUUAAUCUUGUUAAGUUCAGUUUGUAUACCACUAUGAUUAAUUAUAUUGAAUAAUUAAUUAUUACAAUUUUUUAUUUUAAAAAGAAAAUUAAGUCAAGGUGCAAUUUAAGAUUAUGAAUGAAGUGAAUUACAUUGAUUUUUAUAAGUUUAAUAAGUUGAAAUAUAAAAUAUUAGGAUUUAAAAGUAAAUAAAAAAUAUUAUGUUUUAUUGAAUAAAGCUCUAAAAUAUGCACAUAUCGCCCGUCGCUCUCUUUUAAGAGAUAAGUCGUAACAAAGUAAAAAUACUGGAAAGUGUUUUU